rnacentral:rRNA from 1 species
UACGAAGGGGGCUAGCGUUGUUCGGAUUUACUGGGCGUAAAGCGCACGUAGGCGGGUCGUUAAGUCGGGGGUGAAAUCCUGGAGCUCAACUCCAGAACUGCCUUCGAUACUGGCGACCUAGAGUCCGGAAGAGGUGAGUGGAACUGCGAGUGUAGAGGUGAAAUUCGUAGAUAUUCGCAAGAACACCAGUGGCGAAGGCGGCUCACUGGCCCGGUACUGACGCUGAGGUGCGAAAGCGUGGGGAGCAAACAGG